GAUGAACGCUAGCUACAGGCUUAACACAUGCAAGUCGAGGGGAAACGAUAGAGAAAGCUUGCUUUUUCUAGGCGUCGACCGGCGCACGGGUGAGUAACGCGUAUCCAACCUGCCCAUCACUUGGGGGAUAACCUUGCGAAAGUAAGACUAAUACCCAAUGACGUCUCUAGAAGACAUCUGAAAGAGAUUAAAGAUUUAUCGGUGAUGGAUGGGGAUGCGUCUGAUUAGCUUGUUGGCGGGGUAACGGCCCACCAAGGCGACGAUCAGUAGGGGUUCUGAGAGGAAGGUCCCCCACAUUGGAACUGAGACACGGUCCAAACUCCUACGGGAGGCAGCAGUGAGGAAUAUUGGUCAAUGGACGAGAGUCUGAACCAGCCAAGUAGCGUGCAGGAAGACGGCCCUAUGGGUUGUAAACUGCUUUUAUAAGGGAAUAAAGUGAGUCUCGUGAGACUUUUUGCAUGUACCUUAUGAAUAAGGACCGGCUAAUUCCGUG
rnacentral:rRNA from 1 species